AAUAAAAAAGAAAAACAAAAUCAACAUACAGGUGGCAACUUAGGUCAAAAACCAGAAGGCAUUAUAAAGAACCUAAAAUUCUCUUAAAAAUCAGUAUCACAAUACUGACACAACUCAUGUUUUUUAGAUCUAGGGUUAACAGCAGUCCUUAUGCUAUAAUAAUGUGGAUAAAGGAUAGCUGAAGGUCCCUCAACAACAAAAUAAGGUAGGGAGGGAACCUGCUAAUGUAGAAGAAAAAGCAAGACGGGUACCAAAUAUUUCAAGGAGACUGGACUACACAGAAACUCUAUACUGCAUAUUUGCAGUACAUAAACCACCUAAAAUUCUAAAUAUGCCACUGUCUUCACAUGACUUUCACCUUACAAAGAAUUUCCUGAAAAUCCAGUGCCUGUUAUUGUUCAUGUUCAAACUCCAUCACCCCUUCUGCCCUUUAGUUAUACCACUAGAAAGUAGCUGGUUUUCACACAAAACUAAUUCUCAUACCAAUUUCAAAUCUGUGCAACACUAUGUUUUUCUUCUUCCUCCUGUUAGUUAGAGAAAGAACAGGCUGGAAAAAUACAGAGUUGUGCUGGGAAUGGAAGACAUUCCAUUGAGAAAAAUCUCAUCCUCACUCAAGCUACUGAUAAGGUGUACAUCCAUCUCUUUCUGUUUCACGACUGACAAAUACCAGAUAAGGAUUUAAUUCUUAGACCUGAAGUAAAUACAUGGAAUACAGACACGUAGCUUGGAGCAGCUAUUUUAAGCAGUUGCUUUUGUUGUCGCCACAUGGCGUCAAUCACAUCAUACAUUUUAGAUCAACAGAAAGACUGUGAUGCAGCAGGGUUCUGAAUAGAUAAUCAGAACUGUGCUUCAGUAUGUGACAGCUCCACCAAAAAAAUUCUCAAAAUCUAAAUACACGCACAGGACAAACUGCAUCUGCUAUAUGUAGGUCACAAACCAGCAGGGAGUCAGAAAAACUUCCAUUCAGAACUGUAAUGGAUUAAGUGAUGGAUUAAGACAAUAAAACAAUUUAUUUGGGAAAUAGUUAUUAAAAAGGCAUAAGCUUUUUUAUUUAAAUUAUUUGAAACUGGAAUAUAUAAACAGGAAGACAGAUUAUAUGCCUAAGAAACACUUCUAUACCAUUUGUGCUGUGUGUUUUCCCCUUUUUACUGUGAGGCAAACAGAAGCCAUCACAGGAGCAGCUGCAUCACAGAGGACACAGUAGGUAGAAUGAACACCAGGUAAAGAAAUAUCUGAAAGGAAGACUUGUACUUAAAGAGGCAAAGAUAAAGGGAUUUCCAGGAGGACACAGGAAGGAAGGACAAUAUAACAGCAUUCUGUGAUGUAUUUCCAUAGUUUCUGUUGGCAGCAGCAGACUUUAAAAGAAUUUGGAAGCAUCUGUGACCAAAUCCCUCAAGUCAGAUAGUCUGAAGCAGUCCUGCAUAUUUAUUCAGAGGAACAGGACCACCAGGAAACAUUCCUGGGAGAAUCCACACAGAAGCUUUGCAAAGAAAAGAAGGUGAAAAAAACAAUAUAUCCUGCAACCAUCCUGGAGAAGAAAGGCUCAAUAUUCUGUGUACAGUCAAAUUCCAGCAUUUUCAAGAAGGAUAAUCAAAAGGAAAACUCCAUCAACACCAAAACUCUGUCAGCAGAAGCCCAUGGCUGAAACCCCAUUCCAGCUAACCCUGGUGAAGUUCAGAAGAAACCCUCACACCAGCCUCAGUGUUCCCGGCCAGAUCCAACUUCCUCAAAGAUCAAAAGGCAUUUGAGUCCAGGAAUGUCGUUCAACCUAUUACAAGAGACAGACAACUGCCAAGUGGAAUCGUAACCUAAAUUUAUACAGUGCUUAGGGAUAUCUGAAUCAGACCUACCCACAGUUUAUCUUACAGUGGCCAUUGUGCCGGAGAAAGGAGUAAUUAAAAGGAUAAUUUUUUACUGACUUACACUCAAGACCUUGCAAUUCCCUAUAGCUCCCAGAGCCUGUUUACUCAUGUCAUAACAGAAAGCCCUCAUAAACCUUGGCAUGAAUUUAUUAA